rnacentral:lncRNA from 1 species
UUUUUUUUUUUUAUUGUAAUGAUAACAAUUGUAGAUCCUACUUUACCUUAAUUUAAGAGAAAAGAAAAUCGACGGAAAUUUCAUCAAAAAAAGUCAUUGGAAGGUGAUAAUCACAAUUAAUAGGUAAGUUUAAUGGCCUCCCACCGUCCGAUGGCUUGCUUGCAUACUUCAAAAGUUGACUAUCAAUUACCGCCAAACAUCUUAGCUGGCAUACUAAAUUUCAACUUCCUAGGUCAACCUCCCUCGUGAAGUCAACUAUCCACCCAAAGCUUGUCAUCCAAGAUUUUCUACAUCCCAAUAUACAACAGUAAUCUGAUAGCUAAUGAUUCCAAAAUUACUGCUUCAUCUCCUCAAGUUAACUUGUUCAAUAAUGCAGGCUCUUGGUUACCUACUGUUAGUUUUGCUUAUGCAUGGUAUGGCUGUGGAGAAUAGAAACACAAAUAAUAGUUAUUUGGUGAAGGCAAGAGAGAUAAGAGAAGUCCUAUCUUGUCACAAAGUGGCAUCGUCCUACGCUGUUUACGAGCCAUCCAGGGUAGAACCGGGACAAGGAUGGCCGGCUAGUAAACCUCCUCCCCUGCCCAACCCUCCCACGCACAUGGAUGUUCCUGCUGCACCUUGUAUACGUGUUCUACAAGCGCCUCCGCCUCCCAGUUACUAAAGUUAAUCUUCAGCAGUUAUACAUUGACAUAUUUUUUUCUUUCUGAAAAAUGUCAUUGAACUUAAUUGUAAGAAGAUGUCAUUAGAUUUCGCAUACUCUUCACUAUUCUUUCCCUGUUUUGGGCUUUGCAUUUGGAAGUUUAUGUCCUUCCUCCUUGAAAAGAGUACUUGUGCUCGCAAAAUAGAUGAACAAGCUUUUUAUUCUCCUACUAGUGUAAGUGUGUAACUCUUACUUAAGGUUACUUUAAUUUAUUACUACUGCUUCUUUUUUUCUUUUUUUUCCUUCGGAAAAAAGUCUAAUCUUGAUAAGAAUGUUGAAUCGUAUUGAAAUUAUGGACAUUAGAAUCGACUGUCUUGACUUGAUCUGGUUUACAUUUCAUCACAAGAACACUAGUAGUGAACAAACUCAGAUCUAGUUACUUUGUAAUGUUGAAAAUGCCCUCCCAAUUUAAAUCAUUUAUUCCGAUUUUGCAUCAUUCAGUAGCUUCCCAGGUAAUUGAAUUACGAGCCUUUUUUGUACCAAAAUCUAGAAGUGGAAGUUGGCCAGUAAAAUCUUGCCCCUAAAGAUUAGACCACUAGCUGAAUCCACUUGGGUACUUCAUAUGUCGGGUGUGUUUAUCUCUAAUUUACACAUUUUACUAAUUAAUGCUGGCAAAGUUCUAAACAUAUUAGUGAUAGUAGUUAUAAGAGUUCUCAAGAAACUAAGUCUGUGAUUGUAGCAGUUCUUUGGAUGUCUCAUUUUGCAAAUUGCAAUUCUCUCACGAAUCUGGACCCUGCCUGGAGUUGGAGCGGAAACUCCCUAGAUUUUUCCGGGCAUAUAGAUAUAUAAUACAUCUUUUUUUUGUUGAACGAAAUGCACCACAUAACUACGGCUCAGAUGAACCUCGCUUGAUUGCCUCCUGAUUAAUUUUAUCAAGAAAGUACUAAUUUGAAUGUCUUGAAAGUCAUUGUGUUGAUCCGUCUAGUUGAGAAGUAAUUACGCUUGAAACCAUGUGAUCAUGUUCAAAGUCAACUUCUUUCGUUAUCCUAUUUAAACGCAGCAGUGCUUCAGUUUAACAUGCACUCAAUACUGGAUCAUCAAUUUUAUCGAAGUGAUUAUCACUAAUUAAGCAAGAAAUGAAGCUUUCAUCUUCCUUUCUAAUCGCAGUGGUGUUAUUCCUAGUCGUAGUUAAUCUUGCUUCCAUGUGUGAUGCCAGGCGUAUGUGCCCAACGGAUGCCGAGGGAGAUGAUUGCUACGGUAUACCAAGGAGAAACCCAGUCCCCGGCAACCCUCCUCCACCUCCAGUUGUGGUGCCCGUGCCCGUGCCAAAUAACCCUCCUCCUCCGCCGGCGGUGGUAGUACCAGUGCCCAACAACCCCGGUUAUGUCGGUCGCGUGUACCCAUGCCCCCAGCCGUGGAGACCACCUCAAAACCAUUUUCCUUACCCGAGUCGAUACCCAUACCCAUGCAACAAGAUUGUGACUCUGGAAUCUGGAUGGUUUCCUUUAUCCGAGUCUUAUCCAAAGUAUUUCCCAUUAUCGUUAUGUGAGUUUCCUCUUAUUAAUUAGCAGCCAGAUAAUAAAUAACGGCGCAUGUGCAGCCGUACGAACGUUUGGCAGAAUAAAGAAAACCCGGGAAAAAAGAAGCCCAAAAAAAAAAAAAAAAAACUGCCCAAAUAAAGAGUAGUUUUAUGUAUGCUGUGAUCUUGGUUUGUCUGGUCAAUGACGUGUAGUAUGUAAUGGCUUUGAAUUUAAUCUUUGUUUCCUGAUGAUUUGUUAGGAUCUGGUUUUUGCACGAAUAAUUAAGCUUUGUCCACCCUCCCUCAAGAAAUCCAGCAAUACGACCAUGAUAUGCUACAGAAACACCGUAGGCCAAAUGGUUUUGGAAAUCUAUGCAAUGUCACGCAGUAUUCAACUGACAAAAUUAAUGAACUAUAAGUUAUGCAAUGUCGAAGUAAUGGAAAUUUUUUUGAUAAAAAGUAAAUUUUAUUAAUCAGUUGUUAAAAAUUAUUCAGUACAAUUUGAUUUAUAUCAUUGUCCUAAUAGUAGGCUAAACAUGCACUUAAAAAUAAUAGAUUAGAUCUGUAAUUUAACAGAUACAAUAGAUUCGAAAAAUUUUUGAACAAAUCUAAAAUUGAAUUAAUAGAAUAUAAGCUGUGGAAAAGGUAAACGUCUUUGUUGAUUCACAUAUUUUUGGUUUUCCUUAAAGUAACUUGUGCUCAACUACUUACCUAUCAUAAUUCCUAAAUCCUAACUCGAUUGCCGUCCACUCUUUUAACUUUAGUUACCGGCAAUUCUGUAUUGUUCGUCUCGUAACUUCACUGGGAGACAAUACUCUAUUUUCUUUAUUUUGUAACUUAAAACAAGCAAGCAAUAGCAUUGUUGCUUCUUUUUUUUUUUAAUCAUCCUAAAACCCAAAAAAAAAAAAAAAAAAAAGUUCUAAGAGCAUAAUUUAGCUUUAGCAUAAUGUUGGGAUUUCAUUAACUUAAAACAAAUGCCUUUUUUGUCUCCAAAAAUGAAAAAGUUGGCACUUGAGUCGUUGAGCGCCCAACAUCACUAGCAGGAAAAUAAGACGCAAUUUUGAUUUUAGUGAAGAUCGAAUCCUGCUUAAUGCAAGUCUGCAACCGUAAGGAGCUGUCUGGUUCUUGUGUCUAGUGUUGCUCAGUCACAAUCUAAUUAAGAACAAAAGUUUCAUGAACGUUUUUUCAAUCUUGCCGCAUAAAAAAAAGGAAGAAGAAGAAGAAGAAGAAAAGACUAUUGCAUUCUUUCACACCGAAAGAACAAGAAUUGCGGGCCUCUUCUUAAACUUUUACGAAAAUUACAAUUUGGCCUCCAAAAGUUCUGUCUGAAAUUGAGUCCUGUCAACUUGUUUCAACACUAACUUUUUAUUUUUCUUAUUUCAGCCCUAACUUAGGGUGUGUUUGAUAGAACUGGAAUCUAAAAUCUGAAUUCAUUGAAUUAUUGAAUUGUUAAAUAUUAAAUCUAAUAUAUUUGAGUACAUAUCACAUUCAGUGAUAAGUGAAUAGCAUAUCACUUAAUUUUGGGAGCAAGUUUUGUCUGGAAAAUUAGAUGCUAUUUAAUUAAUUCAGAUAUUCAAUUUUGGUUAUUAAACGAUCUGAAUAUGUUAAAAUCUAAAUUCAUUAAAUUUAAGUGCUGAACUGAGCUAUCAAACGGGACCUACUCUCUCCAAUCUUUAAUUUCUAGUCAAACAAUAAUUUUUUAGGCACUUACACUUUGUGGGCUAAAUUAAUUACUCUAAGGUUUGAGGAUUCAAAGCAAAUUCAUUCGCAACACUUGCUCCUAUUCUUUUACUUGAAUUUUUUUUUUCCAAUUUUGACUAUUCAAACAUGUAUAUCAUGUCACUUUCUGUCGUCAUCAUAUGUAUUCCAUAUAUGAUAUGUAUUUGUAGCGAUUUUUGUUUUAGAGAAAUGAGCUCAAGGGUAAAAAGGUAGUACGUCAAAUCUUUUUGCAAAAACAGAGUCCGUGCAAUUGAAGUGCUCUUAUAAAUUCUACUUGACAUAAUGCACCAUCGAGCGUCCACAUUUGGAAGCUUGAAAGGUUAGCUUGCUAAGGUAAGAAAGGCAAAAAAAAAAAAAAAAGAAUAAGGGAAGCAGAUGAAAGGUAAAUGUUAUCGUUUUGACCCAAAAAAAAAAAAGCAGAUGAAAGGUAUAUCAUAUAUGUAAUAGAACCUGGCCGCUAAGGCGCCAACUAUAAUUUCUUGUUCGUAUUGGCAAGGAGAUUGAUGGGUGAAGGUGACCAUAGAGUGCUGAAUAGAUCAGCACAAUUCGCCAAUUUCUUGCUAGCUAAGACAGUAUCUGUACGUGGUUAGUCAAUUUUGUUCUGCAAAUAGGAAGAUCUCAACCAUAGAUCUUGCUUUUAGUAAACACCUGACCUAGUCAAUUACAUCAAUUACUCCGGUACACAUGUUUUUUUGCAUUGAAAACUGGACUUAAUUUCUUGUGCUUGAGAGUUAAGAUUACUUUCUGUCAAGUUCAAUUAUUUUUGUAAGGUGACCAACAAAAUGUCAAGUCUUUCCUUAAUAGGUGGUGCUUGAAUUGGAGUUUUCUACACAAAAAAAAUAUCUUAUGUUUUUAUGAACACGUUUUUUAAUUAUAUUUUUUUCUCAUGUACAUCAAAUUAAUACAAUAUAUCUUUUUUUUAUAUAUAAAAACUCCAAAAAAAUAGCAAUCCAAUAUGACUCUCUAAGUUAGUAAUCCAAUCAAGCAUUUGAUCAGCUUGAAUCUUGAUUUCCUUGAAUGUCUGACUUGGAAUAAGGAAGUGGGAUCAUAAUAAUUUGCAUACAUGUGCCCUGCAAUUAAUUUAGAAAUAAAUUGGGAGGUGAUAUUUGCACUCUUCAAUUAGCUUCUAGCACCCCUUGAAGGCAUGUUAUUUAUUAAGUAAAUUGGAGUGCCCAAAGGCUAAAAGGGAAUGCGAAUAUCAAUUCACAAUACUACUUUGAAUCUUGGAAGUCACUUUCUAAACAUAUAACUAGUAGUAAGGAAACUGCUUCACUCUACGACGCUAGCAGUCUUUGUAUCAGGAGCCACUCUACUCAAUGUGCAUGUUUCCAUCUCAUUUUGAUGUUUCCGGAUGAAUGCAUAUUUCUCCCGACUCUGGACCUUGGAAGUUGGAACCGAAACUUCCCAAAAUUUCCCGGUCUUAUAAAAAAAGUCGAUACAUGCUCUUAUAGAAAUGUAAUGCACCACGUAACGACGGCUCAUAUAAACCUCAUUCCACUGCCUACUCACUAGGAUCAAGAACACAAUUUGCAUGCCUUGAAAGUCGUUAAACUCUGCCUAGUUCCGAAGUAAUUAAGGUUGUAAUUCAUCAUGUGAUUUCAAAGUCAACUUCCUUCAUUGUUCCAUACUUCUAUAUAAACACAGCAAUAGUUCAAUUAGCAUGCACUAGAUACAGAAUUGUCAAUUGAUCGAAGUGAUUAUCACUAAGCAGGCAAUAUGAAGUCUUGUUCUUCUUCCUGUGUGAUUGCAAUGGUGUUUUUCCUGCUUGCAGUUGAUCUUGCUUCUGAUUGUGAAGGCAGGCCUAUCACGUGCCCAGUUGGUGCAUGGGGAGAUGAUUGCACUUACCCAUACCCCGGUGGUUUACCGAGGAGACCACCGGCCACCAACAACCCUACACCAGUUGUGGUGCCUGUGCCCAAUAACCCUACUCCAGUGGUAGUGCCUGUGCCCAACAACCCUAGUCGUGUGGGAGUUCCUGUGCUCCCAUGCCCCCAGCCAUGGAGACCACCUCGAGAAAAUGUUCCCACGGGAGUACGAUUUGCCCGACUCCCAUGUCAUGAUUAAGAAAACUAAUGAUCACCGGAUGCUGGAUAUGGUUUCCUAAAUUUGAGUCUACUGAAGUAUUUCCCUCGAUGCAUUAUGUGGGUUUCCUCCUCUUGUCAGCAGCCAAAUAACAAGGCUACUUGUGCAGCCAAAUAUUUGUCAGAAACCCAAAAAAGAAAAAGAUAAUAGCAAAUAAAGAAUGUGACAAGAGGAGCUGAUUUACCUUGUAAUCUUUGAUUGACAUGAAUAAUAAAAUCUAAUUACUGCGAGUCUCUGAUUUUAUCCUUUGGUUCCUGAUUGUCAGGAACGCUUAUUUUAUUGUUAGCAUGAAUAACAGUUGUCCACUUUCAAAAAAUCCAGUAAUAACCCAAUAUGUUAACGGUUUAGGAAUUGUAGUUACCACGGAUUGAUGGACCCAAAUCAACAAUAACAUAAAUCCAGAGGAACGAUCACAAGAAAUCGAUAUACGAGGCAAAGGUAAUAUUCUUCUAUUGAAAACGAGGCUGCAGCUAAUUCUUACAAAUGAAAAAACCAAACAGCGAGGCUACUACUACAGUACUACUAGCUUCUUAGCAACCCUGCGGCAGUGUGCUACUAAUCGUCUACUACUAACAUUACGGUAUUGGAUCCCAUGUGGCCAAUCUUACUAACCCACAAUGCAAUUUAUUGUAGUAACCAAUAGAUUAAUAACACAUGGCCACUAACUUAACUUAACAAUCCAUAAAAGCUUGGUUUAUACUUUUACAUGAACGAAUUCUCACUUUAUAGAAGUCAAACCAUAAAAGCUUCGUUUAUAUUUCUACGUACAUGGAUGAAUUUUCAAUUUAUACAAGUCUUAAGGAUGAAUCUUAUUUGUACAGUUUUGCAUUCUUUGCCGCCAAAAGAACAAGGAUUGCAUAUAUCUCUAUAAUUACGAACCAUCUUCGUCUAUGGUGGAUCCAGCCGCUCCUUAAGGGUGCGUUUGGAUACACUUUAUUAUUUGCAAAUAAUUAAUCCAGAAAGAAGGCUGCAUGCGAGAGUAUAAAAACGCGUAGUUGACUCACCUACUUCCCAAGUUUACUUCAAUUAAUCCUGCGGAGCCAGCUCAAGUCAAUCAACACCCCCCUUGCUAAAUGAAAUUAGAAUAUUCCAAAUUUGGCCUUUCACCUCCUAUACUCUUAUUUGUUGGAGUAUUUAAUUGAACAAGAAGCUAGGACUCAAGAUUGAAGACUGAAGAGACUCUUUACAGAUUGCAAGUUAAUUCAGCAAUGGGUGCUCUGAUUCCUUACAUACUCCUACUUGUGCUUGUGCAUGGUUUGGCUCUGGAUAGUACAAAUCCAAACAACAACAAGUAUGUGGUUGAAGCAAGAGAGAUCAGAAUGGCGCUGUCUUGUAAUACGGUGGCGGCCGCCGCCGCCGCUCGUUACCAGCCAUCAAGGCUAGAACCAGAAAGAGUGAAUGGAUGGCCGAGUAACCCUUUUCCUCCCCUGCCCAACCGUCGUGUGCACAUGGGAGCUCCUCCGUCACCACCAUGUAUUGGCGUUGUGCCACAGCCGCCACCUCCGCCGCCGCCUGCUUAUUAGUUAAUUAGUGGAUUAGCCAAGUUUCUGCAUUUGUACAUUAGAUUAAGAAACUUCCACGAAAUGACUACAGUAAUGAAAAAGAUUUGAACACGUUCUGCUUAUCCUUCAUCCUUGUUUCUUCUUUUCUAUUUUGCUAGAUUCACAUUUGGUUUUCCAUAGUUGGUUGCUGUCAAAUGUGUUUGAUAAGGAUUUUCGUUUUUACUUCUUGUUUUGACGCAAGAUGACAUUAGGUUGCUCAACGAGCCCAUUCAUUUUCGGAUCAUUUCCUCCUAACGAGGUUCUACGUUUUCAGUUGUACGUUUCUUCGCUUCACUAGGCUUAAAAAUUUUCCUUUCACUAUUUCAAUAUUUUGCUCGUAAAGCAGAUGCAUAUCAAACUUUUACUUUUCCAUCUUAAAUCUUUUUUAUGUCUCUCACAACUGUCUUUGCCCCUGCAAUUAUGUUUGCCAACAAGAAAGCAAUUGAGCGUUGUAUACAACAAUAUCUUAAUACGCAUGUUUCUGAGAUGAUUUUUUUUUCUUUUAAAGGAAAUGCUCGAUAACUACAUACCCUAGUUUGUCAAUUUGAGAGAAAAGAAUAUAUAGCUCUUUUGAAUGAGAAUUAGAAAAAAAAAAUUUAUGUAUGUAAUUCGAGGUGGGAGGAAAAGACCGUUGGUGUCAUUGUCAAGGGGAAAACGAUCAUUUUGAUCCUCAUUUUAGGGUCAUGGUCAAUUUAGUAACUUAGGUGUUAUCACUACUAAUUCAAUCCUCUAUUUCCAUAACAUAAAAUCAAUUGAAAUUUUCAAUGAAAAAUAAAUUAAAAACUUUUCAUAAAAUUAGUCAUGUACAGAGUAUGUGAACAAUUUCAAACAUGUCAAUGAGUCUUAAUUAAAAUCCGUCCAAAAUGCUGCGAGGACAAUGCACUCUCAAUAUGUAGGUAACGUUCCUUCCAAAAAAAAAAAUGUAGGUAACGGAGCUGAUGGUCAACUUAUGAGUAUCGUCUUGUCAAGUAAUUUGCCACGGGGAGCCUUCCUUGAUGGACACGGUGUUCUAGUAAAAGUGGUCAAAUGAUUCAAUUUUUGACAAAAUUGAAGGACAAUUGAGGGCUUAAUCCUAGAAUGUUGGAUAACGUGACCCACCAAAUUAUCACCAGCCAAGAAUUAUGUGCAAAUUCAAAUUGGGAAGUAAAAAAUGUGAUGUAGCAGAAAAAUUAUUAAAAAGGUGUGAUUAAAAAUACCAACAAUAAUUAUGCGCACUAUUAGUUGAUUAAAAUGUAAUUAUUAAUACAAAAUACGCCCCAAUAUACAUGUAGACUUCCUUAUUUUUCUUGGACAUUUUAAACUUUAAACAUUAAAGUAAUGCAUCAUUCAGAAGUUUCCACAAUCAACUUGUAGAAAUAAAAUUCGGAUAACUCUGUGGAAUACCAAAAGAAGGCCAUCAUGUGAACUACAAAAACGCGCAGUUGACUCACCUACUAGUUAGGUUACCGUUUACUUCAAUUCAGUCUGUCCUGCUAAAAUCCAGAACACCAGUCUUGUCUUUUCUACUUGUAUUUGGAAAGAAUGGUAGUGUUUGUGAAGCCUAAAUCAGGCCUUCCACUCUUAUAAAUACAACAGGAAACUGGACUUAAAGAGUCAAGAUCCUGAAGGCUCUUGCAUAUAAGCACAGCAACUUAAUCAGUUUCAGCAAUGAAUAUCGCUCUUCCUUACAUGCUUCUGUUUGUGCUGGUGCUUGGGGUGGCUCUGGACAGCAGAAAUGCAAACAAGAACAAGUACAUGGUCGAAGCAAGAGAGAUCAGAAUGGCCCUAUCUUGCAAAUCGGUGGAAGCCGCAUCCGCCCGUUUCGAGCCAUCAAGGCUAGGACCAGGAGGGAUAAUUGGAUGGCCGAGUAAACUUUUUCCUCCACUGCCCAAUCAUGAAGUGCACAUGGGGGUUCCUCCAUCACCAUGCACAGGUGUUGAGCCACCUCCGCCGCCUUCUAAUUAGUUAGUUAGUGGAGCAGCUAAUUAGGUUUCUGCCUUCGUAAAUGAUUUGUCAACGGUGGGGUGUCAUACAUGUUACACACGUUGUAUGAGUGAGUCUGUUUCCUGUGUAUGACAUUUAAUCUUGUCGGUGUUGGAUGUUUACCAUGAGGAAUGUCCUCUUGUAAUUUUGUGACUUUGUUGGUCGGUUUAUGAUUAGGGUAUGCCCUUUCUAUUUUGUAUUUUUCUUGAGUAUUAAUAAAAUGGGCAAAUUAUACUUUACCUCCUACGGUUUAGUAUUUUAUUACAUAAUCUUCCUAUGAUUUCAAAAAUUAUGCAUAAUCCCUUCAUAUUUUGAAUUAAAGUGUCAAAGUGACGGAAUUUGUAAUCCAUAACGGAGUCAACUAGAAUAUAAAAAAUAUCCUUACGUAAAGUUAAAAAAUUAUUUGUUAACCACAGGGAGUUAUUGUCAUACAUAUUAUGUUUAUAUAUUUUAGUUACUUAAGCCAUUUUAGUUUUUAAAUAAGGAUAAUUUUGACAUUUUAAUAGGUUCCGUUACGAAUGAUCAUUUCCGUCACUUUGACACUUUAAUCCAAACUAUGAGAGAGUUAUAUAUAGUUUUUAAAACUAGAGGGAGGUUAUGUAAAAAUUAGCUUUAUCAUAGGGGGUAAAGUGUAAUUUGCCAAAUAAAAUCUUACCUACCAAAAAAAGUUCUGCCUUUGUACAUUAGACCAAGAAAUUUGCGUUUAUUCAUGGCGGUAAUUUCAAAAGAUUUGACACACAUUCUGCUUAUCCUUCACCAUUCCGUUGUUUGUUGCUCGAUUCACAUGGUGAAGUAGAUCCUGUUCUGAAGAAACUAUGGUCAGGGUCACAAAAAUGAGGAGUAACAAGGACUGUUGGAUACUUGUAAGGAUGGCAACGGGGCGGGGUUGGGGCAGGGGCCCCACCCCCGUCCCUCGCCCUGCUGCCUACAAACUCCCCCCGCCCCCGUCCCCUCCCCCGGCCCCUGCAUCACUUGCCCCGUCCCGCUUCCCCUGCGAGUGCUUCCGCAGGGUUAAUAAAAAUUUGUUAUAUAAUUUUAUUAUAGUUAAAUUUUAGCAAAUAAUCAAGUACUAAAAUAUCAAAAUAUCACCAAAUUAUUAUUCAUUGUAAUUUUACAAUUGAAACUUAUAAAAACAAUCAAACAAAAGUUAUUUGAAUACAAUCCAACAUGAUAAAAUAAAUACAACUAAAGUAGUCAAGUUUUUACUUUUGGCACAAAUACAAUCACUAAUUCAUUAUUGUGCUUGUGUUUUUUUUUGAGAAAAAAAUGUUAUUGUAUUAAGUGUAAUUAGGAAUUUAGUAUAAAUGUAUUAGUAAAUUUAGUAUAAUCAAUUAAUAAUUUGUAUUAGUACACAUAUAUAAUUAUUAGUAUAAUUGAUAAUAUCAAUUAUAUUACAUGUACUAAUAUACAUUAUAUAAUACAUAUAACUAGUACUAUCAUUAUCAUAAGUUUGUAACUAAUUAAAUUAUCUAUUAUAUAUAUACUUAUAUACAUAUAUAUAUUUUAUAUAUUUAUCUUUUUAAAGCGGGUGGCUGGGUGGGGGAUUCUAAGCGGGGGCCCCAUUAGCCCCCCGCGGGCCACUCGCCCCCAUUGUCAUCCUUAGAUACUUGUUACAAUAAUUAAUUACCCCUCUACUCGAUUAUGAUUAUAGCAAUGGUCGAAGAAACUAAUUUCAUAUUAUUUGAUGCUUUAUUUUGAUUCGUACAGUAACAUCUCAAAAAACAGAUAGUAUAUCACUAGAAUUUGCAGAGAUUGCAAGGAAUUCAAGUACAUCAGUAAAUUAACUCCACGCUUUACAAGUUAUUUGCUUGAAAGAUGAUGGGGUUUAAGUCAAUGAUGCCCCUAACAGACAGGGUAUCAAUAAUCAAACAACUAAUUAGAUCCUAGCUAGAUUUAAGAACAAAUAAAAAUCCUAGCAGUAUUAAGAAAUUAAGAACUUCUGGUCGGUCUUGGCUAGAAAGCAACGUGUGAAUGUUAUCGUACACAGAAGACAAUGAAAGAUAGAUUUGUAAGUUUUCAAGUCUCACAACUCUCAAAAAGACUACUGCUACGCUUCCCCUUCUUUUAUGUACUUGUGAUUAUAGAUGAACUAACUACCUGAUAAGAUACCAACGGGUAUUAUGGGCAUUUUUCGAUUGGAGGAGUCUGAGCUAACCCUUUUUCCGAAUACUGAUUAUGCUGCUGCUGGGAGUAACCGGACUUGCUCGUAAUAAUUACAACGCCAGUCGAAUUAGUUUCGGAGGUGAUUUCUAUACUUCUGGAGGGAAAAGCUUCCACACCUAGACGUGUCAACAAGGAUAGCACUUGCACACCAUAAUCAGAUUUCAAUGUAAGAUGCCUUCCUUCGGUCCUCGCGGGUUGCAAUAGCGUCAUGGUUGCGGUUGUUCCACAUUCGUCACUGCAUAUCGGUUGAAUAUCAGGUAAUACGCAUAUUAUAGCAUAUAAAAAUGUUCAAAAAAUUUGAAAAAAAUUACUAAAAUUAGAAAAUACCAAAAAAUGUACAAUCUAAAAAAAUAUCCUAGUCGACUCUGAGUUGACUCGGAUAUAUUAGUCAAUAUCACGUAUCACGGAUUCAAAUCGACCAAUAUCGGCCGAGUUAGAGCGAGUUGCCGCGGAUAUAGAGUAUUAUCCGCGAUUCAAGAAUCGGUAUCGUAUCGGUCACUUCAGUUCCAGUUACGAUUUGGCCGAGUCGUAUUAGAAUCUGCCGAUAUUGUUAACCAUGAUUGGGUGAUAAAAGUACCGGAUGAGCAGGUGAGAAUCAUAAGAUUAACCUCCAAAAUUUAAUCUUACAGGAGAUUGUAGUAUGUAGGAUCAAUGAACUCAAUUUGCAUGGAUAAUUGAGUUCAAUCAAUAUAAUUAUGUAUCAAGAAAUUCGCUCAAUCAAUCAAGAAAGAUGAUAAAGCUGAGACAACUUUCAAGUGCUUGUGCGGUGUAGUUGAACUGCUCCAAGUACAUUAGCAGAGACGAGAAUAUCACUAGAUCCCUUGUGCACUAGAAACAUCUAUUUCAGCUUUCUAUAUCAAAAAUAGAAAAAAGGAAAAUGUUGUACAGUUCCUACAAAGCAGUAUUUUCUACGAGAAGACGACUAUUUUAGAUCCUUUGCCAGUACUCCAUGCCACUUCACGAACUAAUAACUUCAUCUAUGUGAUGAAAACUGAAAAAAAAAAAAAAAAAAAAAACAGUCCUGCAGUGGCCAAUCGGCAAGUUGCCCACAAGGAGGAUACCAAAUACAGAUGAACCAUCAAAACCUGCGGGAUAGGGUAUGGCAUGCCUGGUCCAGGAACUAACACCACCAUCUUGGUAACUGUCCAGUGUAUAAAUGAAUAAGGAUUCAGGAGGAUUCUCCAUACCAGGAACAAACAGGGCCAAGCGUCCCCUGGUUCGUGCAAUAUUCCACGCAUAGCGACUGCGGCAGAACAUGGCUUCCUGCAGUGGAACUUUGGCUUGCAUCGUUCGUACAAGAACCAUUUUGGGUAGCUCCCAACCCCUUGCUAAAUUCCCGACUUUCAUCCUCCCUGCCCGAAGACUCUGAAAUCAACAGAGUUGUCUCCUUUAUGCAAGAACUCUCCCGCUACCCAAAUACAAGAACUCUGUUCCUCCCAAAACAACAAAUAACCAAGAAACUACACCAAAACAACAACCAAUGAACAGAUAAAAAGAACACCACCACAACCAUAACCCAAAGAAGCGCACUACCCAUGCCAAGAAUAAAACGCUAAGUUGAUAUGCCAAAAUACCAAGAUACAGAGAAAAAUCCAAGAACUUAGAGCUUCUAUUAUGACGUGUACAAGAAAACGAACAAAAGUAGCGCAUACCAUUUUAGAUACUUUUGAGUCGGUAUAGCUCCCUUUGCCGCCAUAUCUCGUGUUCAUUUAUAGAUUUCCAGUACUUUUUUUAUUAUGUAAAUUCCUGAUGCAAGAAGACAGUGAAGAUCUUUGAACCAAACCCCAGAGAAUUGAUGAAUAAUGGAGAACAAUUCUCGAGGUAGAAUGGUGAAUUGUAUCGAAAUGAAUUAGAGAGAAUACAGAGAUACUGUGAAAGAGUCAACAAGUCAAAAACUGACUAAUUUCCUAUUCACGAUUCCUUCUCGGUAGCUGUCCAAUUGGUAAUUGUUUUUGCCGCCUCAGCACAAUUAGUUGUUAACUAACAAAUACAGAAACGUAGCUGCUUAUGUAGCCAACUACUAAUCAAGAUUAAUCAUCCUAUUCCACGACCUCCCUGCCUCAUCAGAUGGUUCUACUUCUUGAUGCAUCAUCAAUUCCUUGCGUUUGUGAUGGUUCUGGGAGAAGGGUGUGGUGUCUGUGGCGACCAGAGCCAACAAAUAGCAGAUAAGGAGAAAGGUUAGGAGGAACAUGGAGUUCAGAGAAUUAUUUUGCUAAUUUCCAGGUCAGACAAGGAUGCCACGUCGUUUUGCACGUUGGAGUUGGUCCUUGCCUCCUUGGCUUUGUACUAUCUGCUAAUCAGCCUUUUUACUUUUCAACUAUUUGGCGGUAGGGAAAACAUAUAGAGUCACUUGCAUAUGGAGAGGUCUUUUCAAAGUUCAACUAACAUAAAGAAGUAAAAAGAUGCCAGCACAAACUAAUUCUCCAUAUAACUUACAAAACUUUUAGUGCCAUUUUUACCUCUGCAAUAAGUACAGAAAAAUAUUUAAUCCUAUAGUAAAAGAAAAGGAAUGAGUAUUUGAAAGAUGCCUAAAUUUUUGUCCCCUGCCCAGACAUGCUCAUGCUUACGAAGGACCAGAAGCACUCUCGGAUUUAGUGGUGGAGUUCAUCGUACCCACCAACUUCCGAAAUUUGAGUUCAUGUUUGGAAAUUGCCAAUUUUAUAUUUUAACAUGAAUGUGCGAAGGUUCAAAUGGGUGUUCCAAUGGCCACUUGAGUACCAUCUUCUUCUAUUUAGAUAAGAUAAUACAUCUUAGAGAAGAUUUAAUCCAACGCUAAAAGAAGCUGGAAUGAAUAUUUAAAUCAUACUUAAAAAAAAGUUCAGUCCCUGUCUAGCCAUAUUCAUUGAUGACGCCAAGGACAAGAAGAAGAUGUACUUUCGGAUGCGCCGAGGAGCUCCUCCAAAUAGUCAGUGCCUAAAUCUUCCAAAACCAAUACAUUAUUAUUAUUAUCAUCAUCCAAGCCCAUCAAAACUUGACUUCUCUUUUUGCUCAGUGCAUUUCUCCUGUUCAUGGAGUGUCGUUUCUUCAUCACUAAAACCGGAGAGCAACCCUCUUCAAAACCAUACUGCAUCUGCUUCAACGACUCGUAAACUACCUCUACCGGAAAGUUAAGAACCGCCGCGUGGCCGCGCAAUGCAAAUGCAGCUUGAUCAUAGACUAAAGCUGCUUCUUCGGCAGUGUCAAACGUUCCUAUCCACACUCUAACGCCGUUUCUAGUAGAAUCCCUGAUCUCAGCUGCAUACUUCCCCCAUGGCCGCCUGCGAACGCCUCUAUAGCUAACUUGAUUCAUUGGCUCGUCAUAGUCAUUUUGUUGAGCACAUUCCUCUUCCUCCUUGAUACGGCUGGAAGAUGGUGCGUCCAUGGAGUUUCCGCUACCUGCAGCUUCUGAUAUGACUCGAGCAAGAAGCAUUUCCUGAGAGUCAUUCUCGUUAAAAGGAAGACUGGACUGACAAUGCUGGGAAUUGUAGCAGUACAUGCUUGAUGAAGCUGAGCUUUCGGGAGGGAAUUCAGCGAAAGAAUGCUGCGGAAAUGAUGAAUAAUCCAUGAAUGAGUUCAAAUUGUUAAGGUUUACGACUGAACCACGAUAGAUAAUGCGAUUAGAACUGAAAAUCAAAGACGGGGUUUAUCCGUUAUAUAUAGGUACGAGGCACACGAACGGGAGGAAUUAAAAUAGCUUAUCGGUGACAUUGACAACAAUAAUUUGAUUGAUACACUUGGAAUUGUUUUAACCCAACCAAAUUGUGGUCUUUGUUUCGGCCACAAAAAAAAAAAAAAAAAUCUGGUCUUUGUCCCAUUUGAGGGGUAGGGAGUGGGACCUGAAAGACUUUGCUAUGGUCUAGGGAGAAAACUGGAGAUCAACGGACACGUGAGUCAAACGACUCGGUGGACUUGGCGGCCAGAUCAGAUGAGAAUUCUGUGACGUCAUUGUUGAUGAUAUAUUUGGCAACUAUUAAUCUAUUAUAGCAACGCAAUCAUCACAAUUCCUAUUCCGGUCCACUUGGCACUUUGUUGCAGGGUCAAUCACAAAUUUUGUAUCAGCAUAGGAGAAUGUAUUGCUGACCAAGUGGGCCUAUUUAAUCCAAAGUCUUUUACGCCUCAGUCAAAGUGGUUAACAAUUACUCCAUAUGUUAUUUUGAAUGAAUUAGGAUUUUUUUUUUCCCAAUGAUAACGUACCUAUAGUCUAAUCUAUGGAAGGGAAGUUUAAAGAUAUUGUAUAAAGGGUUAACAGGUAUACAGAACGGAUUAGACUAAAGAAAUAUUCUGACACCUUAUUUAGAUUUUUUUCAUUACAGGUGAGUUUGAAUAUAUAUAUAUAUAUAUAUAUAUAUAUAUAUAUAUAUAUAUAUAUAUAUAUAUAUAUAUAAUGAAUUCAGAUCUUAACAGUGAGGUGGAGCAUGCUUUUAACGUGCAAUUCCUUAGCUUUAAUGGCUGUAUUUAUUCGUGACUUUCGCUGGCAAAAAAUGUGUACAAAGAAAGUGUGAAACCGACUUAAUUAAUUAAAACGCUGUUAAUAACUUUCCCUUCAUCUACUUUUACCCUAAUCUUGUGUCUCAUCUUUGUUGAUCAGUUACAAGUGGAUUUCCCCAUAACACUAGUAUAAUUCUCUUCUGUAAAGAUUCUAGCCAGUUAGUGUAACAUAUAUGUAUGUUUUCUAUAUGUAAUUGCAAGUAAGUUCCAUUUGUCACAAUGUUUUAACUCUUGAGCCUCUAAUUAAGAAGCGCAUUAACUAUACUAAUCUUUGUUCUUGGUUGUCAUUUUAGGAGUUUAAUUGACGUACGUUCAAAUGAUUUUUUUUUUCAAAAAAAAGUGUUUAUAAGUAAUUUUCCUACACUCUAUACACUUGAGUGUACGAUCGUUGAUUCAAGGUACAUCACUUCCCAUAAAUUAAUGCGUGAAACAAACUCUAUACAAUACUGACCCUCCAAAGAGGGGAUUAGUUAAUUGUACCUAAGAUGAUUGACAUGUUAGGAGUACCUUUUGGAGUGAGUGUAGUUAAUAAGGAAAAACACUUUUUUCUUUUCCAAGUUGGAAAUGAAAGGAAAGAUUGGUGGCUACAAACUAACACUGUCAAGAUCUGAAUUCAUUAAAUAUAUAUUGAUAAAAUGGACAAGCAGAUGAAACUAACCUUGAAGCUCUAAAUUAUAUUAAAACAGAGACAUUAGAUUCGAUUAUUGGCAACAUUUCACUAGAAUAGAUCUGUGCUUGAAGGUCAAGACGGCUACACAAUUGCCACAUUUUUUUGGCUUCUCAACGUUAUUAUUGUGGAGUGUUGAAGAUCCACCGUUCUUACUUUUAAAAAAUAUGUUAGACGCUUUUGACUACCUUUUGGAUUUUUAGGAAUGUGUUUUGAACCAGUGUAAGAUGAGAAAUUGACAUUUUGUACAUUGGCCCCAAGGCCAAACAUUCGUAUAUAUAAUCUGACCACAUCAACACGAGAUGAAUAGAUCGGGUAGUCUAUCAUUUUCGGUGUCCUGAGUCCCCCGAUAGUUUCAAGUUGACUUUAGAUAAAAUCGUUCCUUAGAACUUCUUAAAUAGCAGCCUGCCUUUACAGGUCAGCAGUGAGGAAACGUGAUUACGUCCGUAGAUGUGUUCAAAUCCUUGGGGCUAUAAAACUUCAAUAACAUUUGGAUUUCUGCUGUGGGUUUGUAAUCUCCCGCGGCGUUUGGCUGAUACAAAAUGAAAUUUUUGCACUACAUGAGAAAAGUAAUGUUAGAAAAUUCAAUAUUCUAAUAUUUGACAGCUGUUUGAACGGAAAAGGAAUUCGAAGCUUGUAGAACCUGGAAUUAAUAUGCAGCUUAGUGCCUUAGUCAGCAAACUAUAAAAUAAAAUAAGUAACGAAAAAAAGAGGGCUCCAGGAGGAAUUGCUGUGCCACCAGAUAUUGUAGCCUUAGAACAGAUAGCAAUUAAAAAUUCUGGAUAAUCGAAAUGUUUUUUUUUUUUUUAAAGUAAGACAAUAAUCGAGGUGUUUUCAAUAUUGAAAUGAUUUGUAAAGAAUAUAUGCACAAUUUUAGCUCAAAUGAAUUGACAACUAUAUAUAAGUACUCUAAGUAAAACUAAUUUGAGGGUUGAUUGGAUUGGUAUAUAUUAUAAUAAAAAAUUCCAAAUUUAGAUGAUUUUUAAAAUUUGGAAGAUAGUACAAAUUGAAAUUUUGAGGUGCGAAGUGAUAUUUACAAGAACAACAAAGAGGAUAAAAAAUUAAAGAAAAACUUAUACUAAGCGACGUACGUGCAACUCCUCAAGCACAGAAACAAAUUAAAGAAUAUCUCAUCUCCUUGAUUAAUUUUAGAGAUUGCUAUCUUUGUGUUUAUUAUUUAGAAAUGCCGGCCAUGAUUUGAAACCUACAGUACUUAUCAAAGCUGCACAGAGGUCGGUGAAACGAUUAAUAAACCUCAAACUUAAUUAUAGCUAGUCGUCCAUGUGUGGAAUUCCUUUCUCGUGCAAAAUUUUGCAGAUGGAAAAAGCCAAAAGGGAAAAACAAAAAAAAAGAGAAGAAAUUAAGAAUUCUUUUAGAUACUUUACGAGAGUGAGUAUACAUGCGGUGCAUGAACCUGUUAUCUUCAUGCAGACGAGGCUCUGUUGCUGCAUCAAUCUUCUCACAUUUUUUCCUCAAUGGUGUCUUGAGCAAUAUUUGACUCGUGGACCCCCUGGUCACUUUCAAUGGAAAAAUACAUGACUGAUUUUGUUCAUUUACAAAGUCUAGUUUAAAUGUGUUGAUACAUUAUUAUGCUCCAAAAAAAAAAAAUAACUUAAUAUGAAAAACAAAUCCCACUCCUCUGGUAAACAAAUUACGCACGGAUGAUGUAGCUGGUCAUUUUUGGUUUGAUAAUUAUCAUCAUAUAAAAUUUCGACCGUAUUUAUGUGAUUGUAAAAUGGUAAUUAAACAGGUGCAAAAAAGUGACACAACACCUACUGGUUUAAUUACUCCAUUUACCGAAUAUUCUGUCCAGUUAAGUGAAAUUAAAAUUAACUGGUGCAUGCAUAACUAGUUAGUUAUUGGAAGUUAUUAUGACACAAGCAAUAUAUAUCCAACAGAAUUUCCAAACAUCUCCAAUAUCAUCUCAUAAACCGGAUGUUUUAUGUAAUCAGCCAACUUACGUUUACGUAGAUUGAUCGAUUAGCUAAAAGUGCCAAAAUGAAACAAAGGAGUUUCAAUAUUGAUGGGAUCAUCUCUCUCUCUCAUGGGAAUUAGUGGUCAAGGGAUGAUUGCAGCCAUCGACAUUCAUCAUUCUUCAAGAGACGUUUCCAAAGAAAGUCUUUGGAACCCUUUGAUUUCUUGAGUGGGUCAAAAGGAAAAAGGGGAAGUCUACCAAGUUCCUAUCCCCUCUUCAUGAGUCUUGCCAUGCUUCAAACCUCUGCUCAAAAAAGUUUUGGUCAAAGAUUUCAGCAAUAAAGUAGAUUAAAAGGCAAUCGGAGCUUUGAAUUCACACUUCGUGCUCAACACACGUUUGGAAAUUUUUUUACAUUUUUCUGUAAAAAUAUUUUUCGAUCGCAUUUUUUCUUCAUAUAUAUUAAAUCGUUACAGUAAAUUUUUCUCAAAAAACUCUAAAGAAAUAGUAAUCCAAAUGGUAUGGCGCUAUCUAUAGUAUAUUAUGCCUUUUUACCUCAACUAUAAUUCCCAACCCGGUAAAAGUAAAAUGAUUUAAUUCCGGUGAUUUUCUUGCUCUUAUUGCUUUACAGAAGAUGCUCCGUAAUUUUGGUUUUAACUCUAAAGUUAAAGCUUCAAGAAAAAAGAUAUAUUGCGGAGAAGCAUUGAUGUUAUGUAAAUCAUCACAUUAUACCAAUCAGGAUUCAGGAAAGAAGAAAAUCUCUGGUGCUGCUGCUACAGCCUAAAGGGCCUCAAUGAGCAAUUUCCUCUUUGCUAUAAAUAGUACAAUGACGAAUUCUUAUAAAUAAACCGAAAAAGAGAAAGGACAAAUAUGAUACUGUUUUGGUCAACUUUCGGUCAUAUCAGGGGGAGUUAAGUAUAAGCAUUGGGAUUAUAAGAUCUUGCUAGUUGGGGUUAAUGCAACGUACAUUACCAAAUACGGUCAAGCAGAAUUAAACCUCUGUUUAGGACCAAUAAUAAAAUUUUUUAAAAAAUGGAUAUAUUUGAACGAUCAUUUUGGUCCACCUAAACGAAGAAUCAAGGUUCCCUAGACUAGAACCAUCACAAUGAUUAAGAAUACAAACCUUUCAACUUCAUGGAUGAUGAGCGAAUGGUAUCAAGUCUUGUCGUGUUUAUGUAACAUAGCUAGAGGUGGCAAAAUGGGCGGGAUGACGAGAUUUGCUUGUGUUCGAAAUGGAACCGAAUCAUAUGGGUUUGGGGCUAAUCUUACCCAUAUGUGUUUUGGAACUAAUUUGGGCGGGAUCACUUUGGGAUGGGUUUAGAUUGAUCCCGCCCAAUACCCAAAUCUAUUUUCUAUAUUUUUUUCCUUUAAUUCUUUUUUAUUUUUUAUAUAACUUUUAUAUUUUUAUUUAUUAAAUUUCUUUUGAUCUUAUCAUGAAUUUAUAUUUUUCUGAAUUCAUUUACACUCUAGAACGAUCAAUAGUUACUUUAAAAAGACAUAACAUUUUGGUAAGAAUGAACAUAUCUUCUCCCUGGAUUAAACCAAAAAUUGGAUUAACAAAUAAAGGAAAAGAUAGAUAUAUAGUCAUAUUCCAAUCUUACCCAUAAUGUUGUCUGACACAAGGACUAGAAAUAGGAUUUUUUAACACCAAAUUCAUUCUUACUGACAUUCUUAAAAUUUCCAAAAUUUGAUACAAAAGAAAUUCACAUUAAAUGCUAAAUAAAGCUAGCACAAAAACAAAGAAACUAAUUAAAAAUUGAUAACAGGGUUGCAUAUAUAAAUCUAUGUAGAUAGUUCAACAAUUAGCAUAAAAUCAACAUAAAGGGUGCCAACAAUUGUUAGUAAAGCAUUGACUCUUGUAGACACCAAAAUUUUACCAACUCAUUUUAUUUUUAUUGUUAUCUUUAUUUUUUUUAAGUUGUUUAAAUGAAAUCAUUUUCACUUAAUUGGUUUUCUUUCGUAGGAAAGUGAAGAACGAAAGAAAAUGGAAGUGAAAAAAAUCAGAUUUUUGCAAAAACAAAUCAAAGAUGAAUUUUUGGAUAAAUGAAAUUUUUUGGAAAGAUAUUUGGGCCCAAUGGGUAUCCAAGUAUUUCCCAACAUUUCCCAUCAAAUAAUGGGUACAAUUGGGAUGCAUCUCAUUUUAAAUCCAGUAUCAAAUUACAAUACCCAUCCUGCCAAAAGUCCUUUUAGGCAUGGGUAAUCCAUUGGAAUUUGGGACAAAUUGCCACCUCUAAACAUAGCUAAUGCUUCUUGUGAUUACAUACCACCCGUUUGGUUUGCCCAAGGAAUGGCAAUGACUAUAGCUCUUCAAUGGUAAUGAUUUACGAGGAAAUUCUUCACGUGAAAACUAAUGUUUGGUAGCAGUAAUUAUUGUGGUUAGGGUUGCAAACGAAUCAAACUACUCGUGAACCGAUCAUGAGCGGUUCAAGUCUGAAUUUCACUCGAGAUCGAUCAAUAUCGAACUCGAGUUGACCAAGUCGAACUCGACUUAAAAAAUACUAAAUUCGUUAACUCGCGUGCCGGCUCGAGUUUGAUUAUAUAUAUAUAUGUGUUAUUUUAAUAGUAAAAUUACAUAUAUAUCCCUAAUAUUUUAUUAUUUGUUAAGAAAAAUUAUUAUUUUAUUUAUUUUUAAAAAUAAAAUAAUUAAUUUUUUAUUUUUUUAAGCUCGAACUCAAGUUUGACAUUUUGAUCUCGUCAAGUUCGAGUUUGAGUUCGAGUUUCGUAAAAUUAUAUUGAAACUCGGCUCGAUUAGGUUGAAUCUCGUUUACACCCCUAGUUGUGGUAUAGGAAUCAACCUCUUUUUAAUUAAUUUUUCAUGCAUUAUGUUCUGUUUUGUCACCAAAAACAUUCGGUGCGGUUGUCGAAGAAAAUAGUAACAAAGUUCAUGACUGUACCUUAAAUUUCAUUUUAAGUUGCUCAAAUUUCAUCUCAAGUCUCUUGCUUUAUAACAGAAUCAACCAAAAAAAAAAACCCAAGAGAUGAGGGCCAAAAUCGUUACAAAUGCCUAAAUCUAUUGAAGUUUGGGAUUCAAAUUUCAUGAUUUAUAAGUAAAUCAACAAAAAAAUAACAAAUGAGAGCCAAAAACAACCAUACAUAUUUUAGAUCCGCCAAAAUUUGUCUAUGAAUCCCAAGAAAAAAGAAAUCCGUCAUUACAACAGCACGACCUCUGUCUAGACUAAAUUGAGAGCAAUGCAAAAAAAAAAAAAAAAAAGAGUAAUAUGUUGUGGAGGGAGAAAGGAGACGUAUACAUCGAUGAAGAUGCAAUUAGAAGAAGCAAAACAAGGGGAUGAAGAUGAAAAAUUUAAAAAAAAAAAAAAAAAAAAGGGUUGCAGAAUGAGAAAGGCCUCAAGCCUGCCACACUUUUUACUUAUUUGCGCGUUCAUUCCACUAUCACUACCAGGCUUUGUGCAUUGAGUACCCAGGCCCAAACAAAAGCAGAGCAGAUUAGCAAUCACCUGUAACUCUUAAGGCGGACCGAGUUUAAACACUUAAGAAGCCCAACACAUACUCCCUCAGGUCCAUGGGUUCCCUGAUCCAUCAUUCGUUUAGCCAAGAAUUUGCAUAUUACUACUACUUUUUAAUUCCCGGAAAACCCCAACUUCAUUGGGUUCAAUUUGAGUAUCUCGUCGUCAAGUGUUUAAGAAAAAUUUUUGACCAAAAAAAAAUAUCAAGCAAUAAUUGACAUUAUAAAUGCGGACAUUAACAUAUAAAAUUAAAUUCUAUAUUCAACCGCAGCAGACUCUUGCUAAUUGAAUGGCAUCUCUUGAAUGGUUGAUAAGAUUGAAAGACUAAUCAAAUGAUUCAAACACAAGUUAAGCUUGUUCUUCAACUAAUCAAAUUAAACAUUUAAAAUUAUUAGUAAUUUGUGUAAGAAAAGUUUCAAUUUAGCAAAACUUGACGACGUAAUUACAUUAAAAUUUAUAAAUCUUACAUAUAAAAAACUCGAGCUACUCUAAAUCGACUGGAUGGAGCUGGUUACAGGAAAAAUCUGUUUUUGCACCUGCACAUUCUAUUAUUGGAAACGAAGGAAAAAAAAAUGGAAAAGAAAAGGGGAAAUUCAUAAAUAAGGGUGAGUAAUAAAUCUCUUGGGAAGUGGACGUUGUCACCUUCAAAAAACCUCUCAAAAGUCAUCCGAAAUCAGAUAAGGUUUCGCCUUUCUUCUUCCUCUCCUCCCUUCUCCCAACUCCUUACCUCUUCCCUCCACAGCAGAACCAGCCGAGGCAAAUGCUCUCUCUGACCAUGAUAAACACUGCAAAACCCCUCUCCCUAUCCACCCCAUUUCUCCCCAGUCUGCUCAACCCUCACAAGCUUCUCCCACCCCUUCCUCGCUCCAAACAUCCUAACUCUGUCGUUGCUCUCAUUAUUCCCCCAAAAUCCUCCGCCGCACAACAGCAACAGCUCUACCAACCCUUCAGACCUCCUCCUUCCCCACUUCCCCCUCAAUACCGCAAUCUCGACACCAACGGCCGCCUUGAGAUCCUCUCCAACCGCCUCGGUCUCUGGUUUGAGUACGCCCCUUUAAUCUCUGCCUUAUUUCAAGAAGGAUUCACCCCUCCAACUCUCGAAGAGAUCACCGGAAUCUCCGGGGUGGAGCAGAACAGGCUUGUUGUGGCAGCUCAAGUACGUGAGUCUUUAGUUCAAUCGGAAAUAGACCCUGACAUCUUAUCGUUUUUUGAUACUGGUGGGGCUGAAUUGUUGUAUGAAAUAAGGCUGUUGAGUGCUUCCCAGCGUGCUUCGGCGGCCAAAUAUUUAGUUUUGAACAAAUUUGAUGCGAGAAUGACUCUAGAGCUGGCCAGGGCCAUAAAGGAUAAGCCGAGGAGGAAAGGCGAAAAGGGUUGGGAGAGUUUUGAUGGUGAUCUUCCUGGGGAUUGUUUGGCAUUCAUGUAUUUUAGGCAGGCACAGGAGCAUAGGACUGCGUCGUCCCCGGAAUUGUCGAGAAGUGCGUUGGAGAGGGCUCUGCAGGCCGUGGAAUCUGAAAAUGGGAGAGAAAGGGUGUUGGAGGAGCUUGAGGGGAAGAAAGAUGGGGAGGACAAGGAUAAAGUAGGCGCAGCUGCUGAUAGAGUCGUGGUGCCUGUUGUGAGGAUGCAGAUUGGGGAGGUUGCUGAGUCUAGCGUAGUGGCGGUUUUGCCAGUUUGUAGAGCAGAGGAGAGGGAAGUUAAGGUGGAGGAGGCGCCGUGGGAGUGCGCAGGUGUAGGGGAUUUCGGAGUAGUGGAGGCAGAGAAAGGGUGGAGUAGGUGGGUGGUGUUACCGGGGUGGGAGCCGGUGGCUGGUUUAAAGAGAGGGGGAGUGGCCGUGGCAUUUAAGAACGCGAGGGUGUUGCCGUGGAGAGCGAAGAAGUGGAACAGAGGGGAGGCAAUUCUGGUGGUGGCUGAUAGAGGGAGGAAAGGGGUAGUGACUGAUGAUAAUUUUUACUUGGUGGUUGGUGGAGGGAAUGGCAGUGUUGGGGAGGGGUUGAAGGUUGAGAGAGGAUUGGAAUUGAAGGAAAUCGGUGUAAAGGAGAGUUUAGGUACUGUAGUUUUGGUGGUUAGACCGCCAAGAGAAGAGUACGAUGACCAACUAAGUGAUGAAGAUUAGGAAUAAGACACAGGGUUACAGUAGAUAAAAAGAUUGUCAAGCUGGAGGUUUCCAUUAGUCUACCGGAGGAACAAGAUCACACUGCACAUAUCAUAUUCAUCCUAUUCAAGUCAGAAAUGUGCUUAUAAUUUGUGUUGCCUCGCUGAUGGUGGAGGCCGCUGCUUCAAGCUGGUAGCAUUUAUUACACUUUUUCCUACUUAGAGAGUAUUCUGAAGUCAGUGUAAGAAGGUGCAAGCUUGAAAUGACUAAGUUGCCAACUUGCCAUAUGCAGAAGAAUUACGCAACACAUGCCAAAGGAGGAAAUAAAGCGAGGAAGAGAUUUGGUUUUUGCUUCUAGCUCGUAGGGAAUACAUACUAUUAUAGCAUUGUCCAUUGUUAAUGGUUGGCUUCAUGGUGUUCACAUCUUGCUUUUGUCAUCUGAAGCCGCUACUUCCAGUCCUGUCUUUUUUUUUUUUUGAAAAAAAAGAGGACUCUUUGAUGCACACUUCAGCAUUAAUCUUAAAGUCUGGAAUAGGAUACAGAAAAUUGAGAGAUUCACCCAUAGUAAAAGAUGGGAGCAGAUUAGGAGAAUGAUGACACAUCAGAGAUCUAAUAACCCUAGGAACUGGUUAUGCAAACAUUAUUAUGCUUACUUUUCUGCACUAGACUUUCAUUUGUUGAGCUAGUUUUUCCCCCGGUUUCUGAAGCAAUAUUUUAAAAAGCUACUACUCAUUCGACUGCACCGACUUUCACUGGAUCUAGACGGUCAUUGCCCUUUUACUAGCUUUCUGCUGUUGACACAGCUGAUGGCUACCGGUCUUUCAUUUCCAGUUCAUAUCAAAUACUUUGUGUGCAAUAAACAUCAAUUCAUGCUGUGGAAAGUUUUGUUAAAACUCUCAAGUAGCUAAUCAUCUUAUUAGUCAUUUCUGGGUCGUAAGCAAGUUUCAUGUGAGAAAAUUAGGAGCACGCUCAGAAUCAUUUGAACCUUCCCAUCUUCACUAUAAUCUUCCAUCUCCCUCCUCGUGUGUUAUGCUGCUUUCCUCUGGCUGCAACAACAAUUUUCUACUUCCCUCUCCCUCCAGUGCUCAUAACGUAUGAUGGUGCCACAUUAUGUGCAAUUUGAGAGAUGAAUGAAGCAUGCAGAUAUGAUUAGCUAUUCAAUGAACUCAAUCAAAGAAAAGAACUUAAAAUGAAUAUGAUACCGGUUGUAGGGCUACCAAACUGAGCUGAUUUUUCAGCAAACAAGCCUCUAUUAUUACUGCAAGAACACUUUAGGCCAACUAUACCACUUAAAACCAUCCUUUACAAGAAAUUGUUCCUCCCAGGUAACUACAAAGCACUAAUCAUCUAACAAGAACAGAGCAAAAUAUUUUAGUUUCAUUCUCCUGCAAAUCUACUUUUGCCUACCUUACUGUUCUUUCAUUUCACCACAAUCUUCUAUUACAACAGCUGAAGAAGUCUUUCCACUGGCUGAGCCCACCUUCUCCAUUGCCUCAACCACAUUAUAACCCUCCACAACCUGCCCAAACACCACAUGCUUAUUAUCAAGCCAAGGUGUGCUAACAGUAGUGAUAAAGAAUUGAGAUCCAUUAGUAUUUGGUCCAGCAUUUGCCAUCGAAAGAAGGCCAGGUUGGAUGUGCUUCUUUUGGAAAUUUUCAUCAGCAAAUUUCAUUCCAUAGAUAGAUUCUCCUCCUGUCCCAUUUCCCCUAGUGAAGUCUCCACCUUGACACAUAAAGUUUGGAAUGAUGCGGUGAAAGGUUGAGCCCUUGUAAUGCAGCGGUUUCCCUGAAAUUCCAAUGCCUUUCUCUCCAGUGCAAAGAGAGCGAAAGUUUUCAGCAGUUUUAGGAGUAGUAUCUGCAAACAAUUUAAACACAACCCGACCAGCCUUCACAUUUCCAAUCAGUAUGUCAAAGAACACCUUAGGAUUCGACAUUUUCUGUGAGCAGAGAUCAUAUCCGGUCAGUAACACAGCGUCAAACAUUACCCGCAAAUGGCAGCAGGACAAUCCAAAUCUCAAUCCAAGGUGUGUAUAAAAUCACAUAGAUUUGCAAACAAGAACUAGAGUACAACAAAUCAUAUAUUCAUGUAUCAACAUUUUACCAAUUCAUCCACUUCAAGAGUGUUUUCCAAAAGCCCAUGCAGGAAGACAACCAUUUAUACAGACAAUACCACAACGAGAACAUGAAUUUUUCAUGUAUAGCAGGGGGUACAAAGACCUCGAAACAUUCUUUUUAUGUGCCAAAAAACAUUUUUUUUAUCAGAGUUUUUGUAAUACUAAUAAUUAUCUCUGGAACAAUCAACGACGCACCAUUAAAGAAAGAUUUUUAUGGAAGGUUAAUUAAAUUAAGGCAAAUCAAGAGCAUUUCUACACUAAUAAGACUAGUGUAACAUACAUUAUAGAACUUAACAGAGACGCAUACGGAUCAGCGACAUUAGUACAAGGUAAAUAGAACUAAAUUCACAGAUCAGCAAAACAUUUCACAGUAUCAUCUGAGGGGAAAAUCACUUCAAAAAUAGAAAAAGAAACAGCAAGAUCAGAUUUUUAACGGGAAAAAAAAGAGAAAAAGGGAAAAAGGAAGUGUAAAUCCCAUGAUGAAUCCUCUUGACAAGUGCUGAAUAGGCCGUUAAAGAGGAUACGACGACAUGGGAAAAUACAUUGAUAUUGCACAAUUUUUGAGCUCUACAAGCUUUGCAUAAAACCAACCGUAAAGCCUUCGAUUUGUGCGUUUCUAAUUUCUCUGUCGAAUGCAAGAGAGUAGAAGCAACGAAUGUGAAAUAGAGCAAGGUAUAAGAGACUUUGAUGUACCUUUAUGGCUGAGCGGUAGAAGCUGACCAGCACAAGAAGGGUUUAUGCAGAGGUUUAGUAUGUAUAGUAUAUAUACUGGAACCGAGAGCUUCGGUUGAGAAUUGCGGAUUUUAGGGUUUGAGGCUUUUAUGGUCCUUUGCACUUAGGACCCAACGUUUUGUGCGAUUCAACUUUACCUACUCAACUUCAGCUAUUUACAUUAUGCCCCAGUCCCCACAUCCCCCAUCGGAAAAAAAGAAGAAGAAGAAGUUCGGCCCAUGGUAUCUAAUCAAUCAGAGUGGGCAAACAACAUAGAAGAAACUCAAGAUGAAUUGAGAAAUCCUCACAAGUGGCCCAUAAGUGAUGAUAAGAGAGAGAGAGAGAGAGAGGAGGGGGGGAAGAGGGUUUUUGAGCGUGUCUAACUUCAAAAAAUGUUGUUCAGGGAUCAUGCUUACGUUUGUUAAACAUACAAAAUAUCGUUUUGGCCAAUUGGUUCUCAGUUGUCGGUUACCUCCCACCAAUUGAUUCUUUGUUCUUUCUUGUUAUUAUUGGCUGUUCUAAAGCAUUCUAUUUGGAGUUAUGGUAAUUAGCAGCAGCAGCAGCAGCACCGGAACUUUCUUCCAAUUCUUGUGAUCGACAGAACUGAAAGGUUGUGGGGCUGCUGACAUGAAUAUGGAAAUAUAUCAGGGAAAAAUCAAUUACCGGGAAAAAGAUCUCAAGGGCCCAGUAAACCAGUAAGAAUGCAUUUCAAACAAAAAGAUCUCACGAAAAAACGUUUUGCAGUACCAAAUAAAGACAACAAACCAUUACACUCUUGGAAUUAAAUUUAUAUGUCAACACGAAGUUUUCUCCUGUUACCAGUGAUGAAUGGCAACCAUCAAUCCAUGGGCCAUAAAAGUGGACAAAUGUUACAUCGCAAUCAAUCGGCAGAGCUAACAUAUGUGAUAUGGCCUCUUUUUUCUUAAGGUGUACCAGCAUCCAGUGAGCCAGGUCC